UGACGGAGCGACGCCGCGUGGAGGACGAAUUCCUUCGGGAUGUAAACUCCUUUUAGGGAUCUGAAAACAGAGCGCGCUAAUACCGCGCGAGUUGAUCUAUCCCAGAAAAAGCCUCGGCUAAACCCGUGCCAGCAGCCGCGGUAAUUCGGGUGAGGCAAGCGUUGUUCGGAAUCACUGGGCUUAAAGCGCGUGUAGGCGGCUCGGUAAGUACCUUGUGAAAUCCCUUCUCUCAAUGAAGGAACUGCUUGGUAUACUGCCGGGCUGGAGGCAGGUAGGGGUCACUGGAACUCUAGGUGGAGCGGUGAAAUGCGUAGAUAUCUAGAGGAACGCCCGUGGCGAAAGCGGGUGACUGGGCCUGUCCUGACGCUGAGACGCGAAAGCGUGGGUAGCAAACGGGAUUAGAUACCCCGGUAGUCCACGCCGUAAACGAUGCACACUAGGUUUGCCUGGCUCUGACGCCCGGCGUGCCGAAACAAAAGCGUUAAGUGUGCCGCCUGGGAAGUACGGCCGCAAGGCUA
rnacentral:rRNA from 1 species